AUUGAACGCUGGCGGCAGGCCUAACACAUGCAAGUCGAGCGAGCGGCGCACGGGUGAGUAAUGUAUGGGGACUGCCCGAUAGAGGGGGAUAACUACUGGAAAAGGUGGCUAAUACCCCAUAUUGCCGCAUAACCCAUAUGGGAUUAGCUCGUAGGUAAGGUAAUGGCUUACCUAGGCGACGAUCCCCAGCUGGUCUGAGAGGAUGAUCAGCCACACUGGAACUGAGACACGGCCCAGACUCCUACGGAGGCAGCAGUGGGGAAUAUUGCACAAUGGGCGCAAGCCUGAUGCAGCCAUGCCGCGUGUAUGAAGAAGGCCCUAGGGUUGUAAAGUACUUUCAGUCGGGAGGCGUUACCGACAGAAGAAGCACCGGCUAACUCCGUGCCAGCAGCCGCGGUAAUUC
rnacentral:rRNA from 1 species